AUUGAACGCUGGCGGCAGGCCUAACACAUGCAAGUCGAACGAGUGGCGGACGGGUGAGUAAUGUCUGGGAAACUGCCCGAUGGAGGGGGAUAACUACUGGAAACGGUAGCUAAUACCGCAUACCAUCGGAUGUGCCCAGAUGGGAUUAGCUAGUAGGUGGGGUAACGGCUCACCUAGGCGACGAUCCCUAGCUGGUCUGAGAGGAUGACCAGCGACAAGGGAACUGAGAGACGGGCCAGAGGCGAACGGGGGGCAGCAGGGGGGAAUAUUGCACAAUGGUGGAGACCCUGAGGCAGAGACCCCGGGGGCGGGAUGACGGCUCUGGGGGUGUAAAGCGGUUACGGCCAUGACGCGGUAGUGGCAGAAGAAGCACCGGCUAACUACGUGCCAGCAGCCGCGGUAAUAC
rnacentral:rRNA from 1 species